rnacentral:lncRNA from 1 species
GACAGCACAAUUCUGCCUUUAUUUUCAUUUAUUUAUUUGAAAGGACCUAAUUUCCAGCUUUCCUAAAGGAAAUGUAGCUCAUGCCAUUGGGCUGGCUGCUUGUCCAUCUCUUCAAUCAUUUGUGCAUCAGUUUCUUUUUCUCUCCAAAAGUGUGUUCUGGAUCCGUAAGCUGGUUAACUAGGGAGAUACCUGGACGUUCCUCCUUCUUUGCUCCAUCUUAACUCCCAGAAAAUUAUUUUAAAACCCCAAAUAAACCCAAAGUGUAUCUUUCACUAUUGAGUUUAGCUACUGAGUGAAGGAUUUAGUGCCACCCCAGCAGCCUAAGCCUUCAUGGCACAGAGCAUCACAUUUAUGCUCCUUAGUCCUUGCUUGUGAAUCCAGUGCUUUUGCUAAAAGAAAACUCCUGUCUCAAAUCCUGCUCCAUCAGCUCCUCCCACCCUCCCUUGACUGCCCCAAAUACAAAGCAUUAGAGGAUGUGACAAUGGUUUAAGGGGAAAAGAUUUAAGAACAAUCUUUUUGAGCAUGCCCCAGUUGCUGGGAGAUUAAAUUGUCCAGUGAUGUCUUAAUACUUGAUCUUUCCCUGCUUUCCAAAUGAUCUCCUGUUGAAUUCUCUUCCAGCAAGCACUGGAAAUGCUUUGCAGCCCUUCUCUGCUUCAUUUGUGUGGUUAACAAAUACAAGUAAUAACAGCACAGUGAUGGGAUCACAAGGACAAUGAGUUAUUUGCUGCUUCACACAGACCAUUCUUUUUGACAGAGCCUGAAUGUUACGGUUAAUUCAAAUCAGAUGACUGCCUCCUCCUCAGAUCUGGUGUGGUAGAACAGAACUGCCACAUUUCUUGUUUAUAACACAGUGAUUUGGCACUGCAUCAUUUUCUGUGGUUAAAUGGUGAGUAGAAGGGAGCAGGGAAAAGCAGAGCAUAGUUUGAGCUAAUUGUAAAUGUAGCCUCUGAUUUUCAUACUUAUUAAAUUUCUAUAAAUACAUGGAGGGCAGGAAGUAGAUGAAACACAGAAUGGAUGGGUGGAACAUAGCCAAAGCAGUGUUUGAAAGCACCGAGCUGAUGUUAUUGCUCCCUAUCUUGGCAGCACAGCUGCACUGAUGUGUCUCUGCCACUGCCCUCCUUGGCAGUGAGAAGACAUACGUUUUUUGUUUGAAGGAGACACAAGAGGAAGAUUCUGCAGCCUGUUCCCCCUCCUCUCUAUCAAGCCAGCAGCACUGUUUCAUCUCAGGCCA